rnacentral:rRNA from 1 species
AUACCGGAGAAUGUUAUCACGGGAGACACACGGCGGGUGCUAACGUCCGUCGUGAAGAGGGAAACAACCCAGACCGCCAGCUAAGGUCCCAAAGUCAUGGUUAAGUGGGAAACGAUGUGGGAAGGCCCAGACAGCCAGGAUGUUGGCUUAGAAGCAGCCAUCAUUUAAAGAAAGCGUAAUAGCUCACUGGUCGAGUCGGCCUGCGCGGAAGAUGUAACGGGGCUAAACCAUGCACCGAAGCUGCGGCAGCGACGCUUAUGCGUUGUUGGGUAGGGGAGCGUUCUGUAAGCCUGCGAAGGUGUGCUGUGAGGCAUGCUGGAGGUAUCAGAAGUGCGAAUGCUGACAUAAGUAACGAUAAAGCGGGUGAAAAGCCCGCUCGCCGGAAGACCAAGGGUUCCUGUCCAACGUUAAUCGGGGCAGGGUGAGUCGACCCCUAAGGCGAGGCCGAAAGGCGUAGUCGAUGGGAAACAGGUUAAUAUUCCUGUACUUGGUGUUACUGCGAAGGGGGGACGGAGAAGGCUAUGUUGGCCGGGCGACGGUUGUCCCGGUUUAAGCGUGUAGGCUGGUUUUCCAGGCAAAUCCGGAAAAUCAAGGCUGAGGCGUGAUGACGAGGCACUACGGUGCUGAAGCAACAAAUGCCCUGCUUCCAGGAAAAGCCUCUAAGCAUCAGGUAACAUCAAAUCGUACCCCAAACCGACACAGGUGGUCAGGUAGAGAAUACCAAGGCGCUUGAGAGAACUCGGGUGAAGGAACUAGGCAAAAUGGUGCCGUAACUUCGGGAGAAGGCACGCUGAUAUGUAGGUGAAGUCCCUUGCGGAUGGAGCUGAAAUCAGUCGAAGAUACCAGCUGGCUGCAACUGUUUAUUAAAAACACAGCACUGUGCAAACACGAAAGUGGACGUAUACGGUGUGACGCCUGCCCGGUGCCGGAAGGUUAAUUGAUGGGGUCAGCGCAAGCGAAGCUCUUGAUCGAAGCCCCGGUAAACGGCGGCCGUAACUAUAACGGUCCUAAGGUAGCGAAAUUCCUUGUCGGGUAAGUUCCGACCUGCACGAAUGGCGUAAUGAUGGCCAGGCUGUCUCCACCCGAGACUCAGUGAAAUUGAACUCGCUGUGAAGAUGCAGUGUACCCGCGGCAAGACGGAAAGACCCCGUGAACCUUUACUAUAGCUUGACACUGAACAUUGAGCCUUGAUGUGUAGGAUAGGUGGGAGGCUUUGAAGUGUGGACGCCAGUCUGCAUGGAGCCGGCCUUGAAAUACCACCCUUUAAUGUUUGAUGUUCUAACGUGGACCCGUGAUCCGGGUUGCGGACAGUGUCUGGUGGGUAGUUUGACUGGGGCGGUCUCCUCCUAAAGAGUAACGGAGGAGCACGAAGGUUGGCUAAUCCUGGUCGGACAUCAGGAGGUUAGUGCAAUGGCAUAAGCCAGCUUGACUGCGAGCGUGACGGCGCGAGCAGGUGCGAAAGCAGGUCAUAGUGAUCCGGUGGUUCUGAAUGGAAGGGCCAUCGCUCAACGGAUAAAAGGUACUCCGGGGAUAACAGGCUGAUACCGCCCAAGAGUUCAUAUCGACGGCGGUGUUUGGCACCUCGAUGUCGGCUCAUCACAUCCUGGGGCUGAAGUAGGUCCCAAGGGUAUGGCUGUUCGCCAUUUAAAGUGGUACGCGAGCUGGGUUUAGAACGUCGUGAGACAGUUC